GUUUAUGCAGGUCGUCAUAGCAGAUGAGUCGCAUUAUUUGAAGAAUGCUCAAGCAAAGAGGACAUUUGCCUCUCUUCCGGUUAUAGAGAAAGCGCAGUAUGCAAUUGAGAUUCGUAUUAACAUGAAUCUGGCGCAAAGCGUAUGAAGAUAAUUGGAGUGAUGGGCCUGAAGACUUGACAGGUCAUUCUCGGUUUGGAGUCAGCUUGAUCACCUCUUGCUGCUUGCAGUAUAGUACAACUUUGAUUGAUAAAGAAGUUGAAGUGCUCAUACGUCUUGUAGUAGGAGAGUUGAGAGAUCUCCAGAACUUUGGUUGACUUACUGGUGUUGAG